UACGGAGGGUGCAAGCGUUAUCCGGAUUCACUGGGUUUAAAGGGUGCGUAGGCGGAUAGGUAAGUCCGUGGUGAAAUCCUGCAGCUUAACUGCAGAACUGCCGUGGAUACUAUCUAUCUUGAAUAUCGUGGAGGUUAGCGGAAUAUGUCAUGUAGCGGUGAAAUGCCUAGAUAUGACAUAGAACACCCAUUGCGAAGGCAGCUAACUACGCGAUCAUUGACGCUGAUGCACGAAAGCGUGGGGAUCAAACAGG
rnacentral:rRNA from 1 species